rnacentral:lncRNA from 1 species
GUAGGAGUCGUGGUGCAGUCCCCAACAUGUGCAACUGUCCCCUAAGUAUUUGAUGGUGAUAUUUUUCCUUCAAUUUCUUUGUAUUGUUUUUUUAAAAGCCACAAGGUGGUUAGGAUGGGAAACAAUUUUAACUUGAGGUCAACGUUCACAUAACAUAAACCAAGUAUUUAGAAAUGUACAGUCCAUUUUGCGCAUUCACAACAGUGUACAUCUGUUAGGGUUUAGACCUGGGGUGUCCCCCAGUCCCCUGCGUUCAGAGGUGGGGCACUGUCCUCAUCAGGCGAUUCACCCCAGCCACAUCUGCCCUCCCACCAUCCAACCAGCCGGCCCCCCUUUGGCUGUUCUGAAUACUGCUGUAGGAACAGUGCCCUGCCAGUGUUGUUCGCAUACCUGUUUUCAAUGCUUUGCUUUUCAUUUUUUGAGACAGCGUCUCCCUAUGUGAGACUGCCCUCGAACUCAGCGAUCCUCCUGCCUCAGCCUCCCGAGUGCUGGGAUGACAGGCAUGUGCCCAGACCUCCUGGGCACUUUGGGGCACACUCCUCAGAGCAGAAUUACUGGGUGUAUGAGAAUUCCGGUGUUUUGCCUUUUGAGGGCUUUCUGUACCUGUGUUUUAAAGCAGUUUGGUCCCAAGGACUUAACCAAGGGGCCUCUGGGUCGCCCUCGGCUCCGUACCGGUACCAGGCCCCAACAGUGCGGCCCGCAGAGGGGGUCUAGGGCCGGGACGGCGGCCUCCCUUGCAGUGCAGCCCGCGCGCUGUGGGGGCGCUCAGGAGGCAGCCCACGCGGGGCCUCCGCUUAGGAGCAGGAAGGCAGGGGCUGCAGGAGCCUAUGGUGGAGGAGCUAGGCACCAUCGUCCAUCAAGGUUGUAACCGACGGACAUCAGGCCGAGGAGCAGAGAAGGGGCCGACCGCGGGGGAGAGCAGGAGGACAGAGCCUUCCAGGCAGACAGCGCGGCCUGUGCAAAGGCCCUGCUCCCUCUUGUGGAUGACCCGAGGGAGGAGCUGGAGGACCCAGAGCAGUGGAGACCGCAGCCGAGGCUAGAGUGGCCCCUGGAGGAGGGGCGCUCUCUCUGUCCGUCCCAGGGCUGGUUCUCCUGACUUCUCCUCGAACCCAUGGCGGGGGGGCGGGCAGGAGCUGCCAGCUCAGCGCUUCGGACUCGGGGCUCAGUCGUACAGACGUUGUGCAGGGCGUCUGGAUGGGGGCUUUGGGGGCCCGGGCGAGGACGGCUCGGAGGGGAAGAGGGUGCGAGGAGGAGGAAGGGAACAUUACUGCACCCGCCUGCCAGACCCCGAGUCCCCCAGGCCUGCGGCGUCUCCGGUGCAGGUCAGGAGCUGCCGCCAGGCGCACCGUGGGGAAGGCGGCUGCAGACCGGGCCCGGCGGGGCGGCGCCCCGGGGAGCGUCUGUGUCAACGGAGCCCGUGCUGGAGGAAGAGCCCAGCUGGGGGGCCUGGCCCCCACGGGUGCCCAGCCCGGUGCCAUCGCUCUCCAAACCCCUCCUUCUCUGGAAUAAAGGCAGCCAGAACCCUGCUGCGAACUGCCACUCGCGGCAAAUUCCCAGGACCGACCUGCAAGUUGAGGCAGGCGCUGCUGCGCCAGAGCAGGGAGCCAGGAAGAAGGCUGGGGGAGCCAGGGUGCGAGGGGUGACCCCUGAGGCGCUGCCUCCUCCUGAGGCCCAGGGACAUGGCCGCCCGAGGGCUCCUAGAGGAACUGAGCUGCUGGGCUGCAGGGCCAGCGACGGCUCUGAGGACCCCAAGGAGGACAGAAGUAAAAGUGACUGCUCAGAACACCAGGCGCAGUCGAUGACCACACUGUGUCCGCUGCCUGGCACAUGCGC